CUAUUUAAGACCAUGAUAGGGCUGGAGUUUAGCCUAAACUACUUGAUCUUAUCUGAGCAGUGGGCGGCGGCGGAGCCGGCGACGGCGAAUUUGACCGGUGGUGUUGGGGAGGAGCUACCGUCCUAUUUAUGUAGGGUUUAUGGCGGCUCCGAUCAUCUCUUUCUCGCCGGUCAAUUUUCUGGAACCCCUUUUCCCUGCUUUGCUGCGAUGAAGACUGUUCGCCAUCUGAGCCUAUCAAAUAAAUCGGGGCGAUGAGGUGUAGCUAUCGGAUGCCACAAAUGACAAGAGUUCUGCUCUUCACUUUGCUAUUGCAAGUCAACUGGAAAUCGAGUUUGAGGCUUUGGCAGAUGCAGGUCAUGGCUAAAGGAUGUACGUAAACCUUACCCCCAACAAACGAUGAUACAGACUAUGAUCUAAUUUUGUUUUUUUGUGCGCAUAUUAUUUACUCUCCAGGGGUUGAAUCUUUUGGCAAUUGUGUGAAGAUUGUUUUUUUUUUGUUUUGCUUAACUGGAUAUUUUAUAUAAAUAAAGUUAAAGGUGCAAAUGCUGUAGCGUCUCCCCUAGAGAGUCAUUGGUCCCAGAAGUGUUUUGGCCUGUACCAUUACUAUUACAAUAAUUAACUUUCCUAACAAAAGUAGUUCCUAGCCCUAUGGCAAACAUUGGUGGAACUUCUAGGAAAGUAGCUUCCUCCGCAAAUGGUUUCUGUGUUCCUUCUUUUGCUAGCCGACCCGCUAGUCUGUUUCCCUCUCUAUACGUGUGCUUGAUGGUUGUUACUCCCGCUACCUGCAUCAAGUACCUGCACUCGGAGAUAAGAUUAUUAAAACAGAUAUGAUUGUUUAGCAUCAUUGAGAUUGCUUGGGAUGAAUCAGAGCAGAUAUGAAUGGGAGUUAGGUUCCUGCCUAUUGCCAGCUGAAGGCCAUAUCUGAUGACAAGAAUCUUGGCGUGGAUCGGGGAGGUGUAGGCCAAAGACUUAAUGAGGCUUUUUUUCCAGUUUCUUGUGUGGUCUCUUAUCACGCAUCCUAUACCUCCUUGCCCUGGUUGGUUAGGAGCUGCCCCAUCGACAUUAAGUUUGAAAGUGUAUAUGGGAGGAGGUUCCCAUUGCACUUGGAUAUUUAUGUUCGGAGGCUUCUUGGGGAUGUUUUCUUUCACAAGGUGAUAGUAUUCAUUCGCAUGUGCAAUGAUGGUUUCUACAGGGACCUGUUCCCUUGUGUUGUUGAAAAGAUUUCCAUUCCUGCUUUUCCAAAUCCACCAGAGGCUGAGGGGGAUUAUGAUGGCUCCAGGGGACCCAAUCAUUGAAGGCUUUAAGCUUCAAAAAAUUCCAAGUGUUGAGCCAGUUGUUGGUAUUCAGGGUUGUGGUGUCGAUAUCAGAGAUAGAGUUGCUUUGUCUUGCUAAUCUACCCCAGAAGACUCUUGCUCUAUUGCAAUGAAAGAAGAUGUGAUCAACGUCUUCAGCGUCCGUGUUACAGUAUUGACAAUUGGGGUGUGUCAAGAUUCUUUGUAUAGAAAGAUUAGCUAUUUUUCUAGCACUUUCUUCCUUCCAAUAUUUCCAGUUUAUGAGACGUGAUGAAAAUGGCCUCUUUAAUAGAAAUAUACAUUCUACUCAA